rnacentral:lncRNA from 1 species
UGUCCGAAAUUCAGGGUUAUUUACACAAGUGGAGCAAACAACAGUAAAUGUAGUUGAUGUGGAAGGGCACUAGUAGUUUCAUAGUUAAGCUAGAGCUAUUAACACCAAUCUUAAGCGAGAAAAACAAAAAACAAAAAAUUACGAGAGAGAAGAAGAAAAGAGCAAAGAUAUCUACUUUUAUUUUCAUGGAGGAGAUUGUAAAUCAGAUGCACAACUCACUAUAAUUUAAGUUCAUAGAAAAGGCUAUCAUGCACAGACACUCUUUAAUCAUUUUCUUUGAGCAAUCCAUGAACGAAAAUGUAGCAGUCUUAAUGCAUGGGGGAAGUUGUAAAAGAGAUGUACAAUACUUCCUAUUUUACUUGAAUCGGGUGAUUUACAAAUGAGAAGCAUUACGAAUGAGUGGGCAUAUGAAUGAAAUGCAUAAUAAAUAGUCAACACAAAAUGGGCUGUAAAAGAAUAUGCACAAUAUUUGGCAUUUAGGAAACACGUUGUGAGGGAAAUGAACGAUUGUGUUAAGCGAUUCGUAAAGGAGAUGCAUGAACCAUUUCAAGAGAGUAAUUUACAAAGGAGAUGCAUAAUACUUUGAGUUUGUUAUUGAGCGAGUUGUUAAGGAAUUCCGCAAUAUUCUUUGAAUUACAGUAAUAACGACGUAAAAAACGUGACACCUUACAUAAAAUGAGCUGUGAAGGAUAUGCACAUAAUUCAAAAUGCAUGAGUGGGUUUUGAGUGAGAUUCACACUAAAAAUUUAAUACAAAAUGAGCUAUGAAAGACACACACAAUAUUCAAAUGCACGAGCAUGCUAUGGGUGAGAUAUAUAACAAAAACAACAUAAUUUUAAUUUUUAAAGUAGAUUGUGAAUGAAAUGCAGAGUAAAAAAACUCAAAUCGAUCUUAAUUUCAUGAGUAGACAUUGAGAUAUGUGCACGGUAAAAACUC